GACGAACGCUGGCGGCGUGCCUAAUACAUGCAAGUCGAACGCAGUGGGGACGGGUGAGUAACACGUGGGUAACCUCCCAUCAGAGGGGAUAAAACUUGGAAACAGGUGCUAAACCGCUACUGAUGUAUGGACCCGCUGUGCAUUAGCUAGUUGUGGAGGUACCGGCUCACCAAGGCCACGAUGCCUAGCCGAACGGAGAGGGUGACCGGCCACACUGGGACUGAGACACGGCCCAGACUCCUACGGGAGGCAGCAGUAGGGAAUCUUCGACAAUGGACGAAAGUCUGACCGAGCAACGCCGCGUGAGUGAAGAAGGCUUUCGGAUUGUAAAACUCUGUUGUCAGGGAAGCGGUAUCUAACCAGAAAGCCACGGCUAACUACGUGCCAGCAGCCGCGGUAAUUC
rnacentral:rRNA from 1 species